rnacentral:rRNA from 1 species
GAUGAACGCUAGCUACAGGCUUAACACAUGCAAGUCGAGGGGAAACGAUAGAGAAAGCUUGCUUUUUCUAGGCGUCGACCGGCGCACGGGUGAGUAACGCGUAUCCAACCUGCCCAUCACUUGGGGAUAACCUUGCGAAAGUAAGACUAAUACCCAAUGAUAUCUCUAGAAGACAUCUGAAAGAGAUUAAAGAUUUAUCGGUGAUGGAUGGGGAUGCGUCUGAUUAGCUUGUUGGCGGGGUAACGGCCCACCAAGGCGACGAUCAGUAGGGGUUCUGAGAGGAAGGUCCCCCACAUUGGAACUGAGACACGGUCCAACCUCCUACGGGAGGCAGCAGUGAGGAAUAUUGGUCAAUGGACGAGAGUCUGAACCAGCCAAGUAGCGUGCAGGAUGACGGCCCUAUGGGUUGUAAACUGCUUUUAUAAGGGAAUAAAGUGAGUCUCGUGAGGCUUUUUGCAUGUACCUUAUGAAUAGGACCGGCUAAUUCCGUGCCAGCAGCCG